rnacentral:rRNA from 1 species
AUUGAACGCUGGCGGCAUGCCUUACACAUGCAAGUCGAACGGCAGCACGGGAGCAAUCCUGGUGGCGAGUGGCGAACGGGUGAGUAAUGUAUCGGAACGUGCCCAGUCGUGGGGGAUAACGUAGCGAAAGCUACGCUAAUACCGCAUACGAUCUAUGGAUGAAAGCGGGGGAUCGCAAGACCUCGCGCGAUUGGAGCGGCCGAUAUCAGAUUAGGUAGUUGGUGGGGUAAAGGCUCACCAAGCCGACGAUCUGUAGCUGGUCUGAGAGGACGACCAGCCACACUGGGACUGAGACACGGCCCAGACUCCUACGGGAGGCAGCAGUGGGGAAUUUUGGACAAUGGGCGCAAGCCUGAUCCAGCAAUGCUGCGUGCAGGAUGAAGGCCUUCGGGUUGUAAACUGCUUUUGUACGGAACGAAACGGUGAGCUCUAAUACAGUUUGCUAAUGACGGUACCGUAAGAAUAAGCACCGGCUAACUACGUGCCAGCAGCCGCCGUAA